AUGCUCACUUUGGUAGUACAUAUACUAAAAUGGGAACUAUACAGAGAUUAGCAUGGCCCCUGUGCAAGGAUGACACACAAAUUCAUGAAGCCUUCCAUAUUUUU